CUAUUUUGUUUUGGUAAGGUAAUAACAUAACAGGUUAAUCAGCUUGGUUAAAAGCUAUUGAAUAGAACUUAAGAGAGGAGUGUAUAGACGUUCAGCUUGAGUGAGAUGGUAAGUUUUGUUCUAUUGUUAAAUUUACAAAUGAGUAGGGUUGGAUUUUUAGUGAAGCAUACGGUAUGGUUGAUGGAGAGGCAAUCAAUGAUAAACUAAGAUAAGAUAAUUAUAAAAGUCUUCAAAGUAUAAGCAAAUGUAGAUACAUAAGGGUAUUGGGUUACACAAUUGGACAUAAAAUUCAAACUUUUCAUUAUAAGUCUGCAUUCUUGGUGAUAUGUUUUUUUCAAGGUAUGAGUUUGUAAGAUAAUAAAUGAUUGGUUGCAUCGGUAUUAAACAUAUGAACGGACUUAUGCAUGUUUGAGUAGCAAAUUAUGGAUUUAGAUAGUUUCAGGGAGUACUAGGACACUUCCAAAAUUAAAAUGUCUUUAUGCAAAUAUGGAACAACAUCAUUGAUGACUUUAUGCAUUUUCUCUAGAAUAAUAUUAUAACAAAAUAAAGUUUAGUAAAAUAAUUUAUCCUGAUCAUAUAAUUAGUAAUAGCUUAUUAUAAAUAGUCUAUUAUUAUAAGUAUUUUUUAAUUUUUUUGAUGAGUGAAUAAUAAAUUUUGUAAAAUUACUUUAUUUUGAAAAUGAUGACAUUUAAAAUACCCGUGUUUAGUUUAUAUAUAAAUAGAAAAGAGAAAGUGACAUACGUCAGUCCCACUAAAUUUCUCAAUUUUUCAUUUUUAAUAAAGUUUUUAUUGCCACAUGUCAAUUUUUAAGAUUCUUUUAAUGAUAAUGAGAAGGCAAAAAUAUUCAUUACCUCUAAACUUGAAGUUUUUUAUUCGGUGCACACCUAAACUUUAUUUGGUUUGAAUUACCCCCCCUCUCCCGCGUAAAAAUUGAAAUCACACUAGACUAGGCGCAUGAGAGAGUGAUUUUUUACCACGUCAUAAAGCUACAACGAUUUUAAGAAAAUGAAAAAUCUCCAUUCUUUUAUAUUGACAAAAGUAUUCAUUACCCCUGAAUUUGAAGCUUCCCUUAUUACCCAUAUGAUUUUUUCCUCACUUUUCUCCAACCCAGUUGCUAAUUCACUCAACAUUUGGUAUAGCAUGAGUAUCUUGAAGACCCAAUCUAUUAAAGAAUUGUAAAUUACAAUCACUAUAAUUUUUGGAUAGUUAUUGUAAAAGAGAAGUAAUCGACUGACGAAGAUGACUCGUGGUAUGGAAAGAAGGCAUCAAUUGGAAGGAAAAUUUGGUGGUUGAGUUUCGUAUUUUGGGAUUGGAAAUUCAUGGAAUUUGACGGUGAGGUGGAGAGUGGAUUCUAGCCAUGGAUGCGAUAUUUUGCUUGACGGUGGUAGACGAUGGUUCCGGCGAAGUGGAGUGGGAGGUGAUAGGCGGAGAUGAGGCGGGAGAGGUGGAGGAGUUGGUUUAAAUGGUCUUAUGCUGGUGGUGGAACCAUUACUAUGACAACUUCAUGAUUGGUGAAAAUCCACAUUAUCACCACUUUUGUCAGUUGACCUGCGCGUGUAGUCACAAUAGAAGCAGUGAACGAAAAAUGUAUACACGAUGGUGGAUUAAACAAGUUUGAGGGGUAAUUAAAACAAAAUAUUAUUUAGGUAUACACCAAAAUAUUGUUCAAGUUUAGCUGGUAAUGAAUACUUUUGCCUAACUGUAGUAAUUUAUUUUUCUAUUAUCUUUUAUCUUUUUAUAAAGUGAAUGAUUGUACACGUGUUUAGUGUUUAAA